UGACAGAGAGUCUUCCUGUAAUAAACAUGGUUUUCAUGGCUAACACUUCCCAUUUUGGUUUGUGGUCCUGAUAUGGCAUAGCUCCAAAGAAAAGUCAUAGCCUAAUGCAGGCUGUUAAGGAACCCCUUCUCACUCACGAUUACAAAUAAACUGGUCCUCUUUACAUAACACACUGACAGAGGAAAAACAACCAUGCUUAAAAUAGUCAUAUUCAGAAACUCAUUUUUGCUAAUUACAGUCAAUAAGAUUUACAGAGCCAAGAAUAAAAGGGAAAGAAUGACUAAAAGGAGCCCAGAGCUGGUACAAGGUAAGAACAUUUAUCCCUUAAGAUAGUGUUCAUAUUUAUCUGUUCCCACCAACCCCAAACAUCUCUUUCAAGGUUUCAUCCAAGCACAUUUCUGCUACCUAAAAAUCACUUGCCAGCUCUGGUUUUUAAUUCCUACAUCUAUCACCUGAGCUGUCUGUCUUCUUUGCCGCCUAUCAUUUCUAUGGUGACAAAUCGAAGGAGGGGAGACAGAAGGAAGCAUGUCAAUGUUCCUAGAGAGUGAAACCAGGGGCUUGAAAUUGGUGGUUCAAUGGUAUCAUGUGGCCUCGACAGGAGAGAGGACACGGAUAAGACACUGCUAAAUGUAAGAUCCCCCUCCAGUGCUAUAACAAGAAAGCUCUUAUAAUGAUAUUCUUUGCCUAGUGCAUGUAUAAAUUCACAUUCCUAAUACUGUCCGAAGCCACUUCUUAAGCCACUCUGCUCGCCUCUGAGCAGGCUAGGCUUCAGGCUAUCAUGAAUCAAAACACUUCAGCACAGGCUUCGGGGACGAAGGAGAAACACGAACAAAGAAAAAAGAAGAAGCUCCAGGGAGAAGAGAGGUCCAUCACACAGAUGGCAAAGCAAGCUUCCCAACUCAUGCAGAAACCCCGAGGGAAAGGGGAAAUCAGGGGAUAAACUUUAAAAGUAUAUUUUUUCAGAUGACUACUAUAUAUAAAAUAAUCAACAAGGACCUACUGCAUAGCACAGGAAAGUCUCCUUAGUGCUGUGUAACAACCUAAAAAAUUAUGGUAACAACCACCUGUUUUCUUUCCAAAAUGUUUUAUUUUUUUACUUUUUGGGACAGGCUUUGGCCUUUAAAAUGCUGUUUAAUAUGCCUCCACUUAGUACAUAUCUAGAAAAAAAGAACAAACUGACUUCAUCAAAAUGAUAGACUAUUAUAACAUUAUAUGGGUGCAUAAGUUAAGUGUGCCGCUAAAUCUUAGCUUGGGCUCCAAGCUAAGGUGUAAUGUUAAUUUAGUAUUCAUUUUAUUCAAUGCCCUCAUUUUUCCUUAAAAGGAAAAGUAAUAGAUAAUAAUAAGGGAAUAUUAUUUAUUUCCUUUUGGGAUUAUGUUUUUUCCUCUUGAGAAAAAAUAAGCAAUUUAAGUCAAUCAAUCAUAAGAAUUAUCUAAAGGAAAGAGCAUACUGAAAUAGUAAAAUAUACUAUGUGAACUUUCUUGAUAAAAUGGAAGGCUUAUUACUGUUUUUCCUGUAGAGAAUAAUUUAUAUCAACAUGUGUUUAUUUAGUGGCCACAUAUUUUACUCAAAAUUUACUGUAACACGCUAUUCUUUUUUGAAAUUGACGUUACGUCUGAAAAUACUAAAAAAAAGGUGUAUUUUUUCCUCUGAGACAUAAUCUCUAUAGUACAUGUGAUAAAUUCACAUUACUAACAUUGUCAGAAAAAAACGGUAAGAAAGUGUCAUUAAAGAAAGUGGAGCUCUAAGUAACACUGUGAUUGUAACAUUCGGCCCAUCCCUUCAAAUAACCUUAUGCGAAAACAUGAACUAAAAGCUCAGCGGGUCAGCCCAAAUGUGUAGGCACCAUCUCACAUUCAUUUACACUAAUAUACCACUUACAGGCCCCUGUCUCCUAGCAGUGGGAGACACUCACUUGUUCUGGCUCCAGGACUGGGCUUAAAGCCAGAAGAAAAUGACAAGCUUGGAGUCACGCAAAGUUUGAUUUAUUUUCUUAAAUCCUCUCAUCUUUGAGAUACUGAUAUGUGAUCAUUCACUUAAAAAAUAAACCCCCAAACUCUGACAUGUGACUGAGGGAUGAUUUUAAAAAGUGAAAAAACAAAAUUACCAUCUCUUGGCUAGAACUGUAAGAUUGAUACCCAUAAAAGAAAAGUAAUAAAGAUUCAGAAGUAUGGCUACCACAUUAUGUGUUUCAAUUGGUCAUAAACAGCACUGCAACCAAGAGAAAAUGGUUCGUAUAAAACAAUCGAAAGACAUUUUCAAACAACAGAGGUACAUCAAAGAGCUUUUGGUCCUAAACUCUUUCUUAAGCAAAGAAAUAUUUAUGAUUGGUCUUAAAGGGGAGCUUAACUGAGUUGCUAUGAAUUAUUUAAAAACCCCAAAAUACCUUCUGUUGCUUUUAAAGAAGCUUGAUUUACACGUUGAAAA
rnacentral:lncRNA from 1 species